rnacentral:pre_miRNA from 1 species
AGAAACUUAGAAACUAUCGUUGGAUCGAAAAAUGGACGUUCGAGAUUCGUCCACGUCACCAUGAGUAAAAAUUUUACUCAUGAGUGAAUCUGUGAGUAAAAUUUUUACUCGUGAUAAUAUGGAUAAAUCUUAGACGUUUAUUUUUCGAUCUAAUGAUAGUUUCCAAGUUUCA